AUGGCAGACCAAGCAUGGGUGGCAGAAAAGGCAAUGGGGUAUCUUCAAACUAAACCAAACAUUGGUGCCAGCGAGCUCCGAAAAAAGCUACAGGCCGAGUACAAAUGUACUAUUGGGUAUCAUAUUGUUGACAAGGGAAAAGAAAGGGCCAAGAAUAGUUUAUAUGGGACCUGGGGAAAAAGCUUUCAGUCAUUAUUCAAUUUCAAAGCUGAGAUUGAUAAAAGAUCUCCCAGUAGCAUUGUCGAGGUUGAUGUCAAGAGGGAAGGAGGUGAAGUGCAUUUCCGCAGAUUUUUUAUGGCACUUAAGCCGUGCAUUGAUGGCUUCUUGGCUGGUUGUAGACCAUAUGUCAGUAUAGACUCCACAUUUUUGACUGGAAAGUGGAAUGGUCAAUUAGCAGCAUGUACAACACUAGAUGGACAAAAUUGGAUGUUUCCUUCAGCAUUUGGUUUCUUUGGUACGGAAACCGAGGGUAACUGGAUUUGGUUUAUGCAAUAA
rnacentral:rRNA from 1 species